UUUGAAAUUUAUAUUUUAGUAAAAAAGCUAAAAUUAUCUAUAGGGACGAGAAGACCCUAUCAAGUUUUACAAUCCAAAAUUUAUUUUCAAAUUAAAUUUAAAAUUGUUUUGCUGGGGCAGCAGAUAAAAAUUUUUUAUUUUAAAAUUAUGAUAAAUAAAUCUUGAAAAAUCAAAAAAUUUUUAAUUAAAAAUAAAUUACUGUAGGGAUAACAGCAUAAUUUUUUUAGAGAGUUCUUAUCAUCAAAAAAGUUUGUGACCUCGAUGUUGGAUUAAAAUUCCUAAUUCGUGCAAUAAUGAAAUAA
rnacentral:rRNA from 1 species